AUUGAACGCUGGCGGCAGGCUUAACACAUGCAAGUCGAGCGGUAACAGAGAGAAGCUUGCUUCUCUGCUGACGAGCGGCGGACGGGUGAGUAAUGCCUAGGAAUCCGCCUAGUAGUGGGGGAUAACUUGCCGAAAGGUAAGCUAAUACCGCAUACGGCCUACGAGAGAAAGGAGGGGACCUUCGGGCCUUUCGCUAUGAGAUGAGCCUAGGUCGGAUUAGUUAGUUGGUGAGGUAAUGGCUCACCAAGACCGCGAUCCGUAACUGGUCUGAGAGGAUGAUCAGUCACACUGGAACUGAGACACGGUCCAGACUCCUACGGGAGGCAGCAGUGGGGAAUAUUGGACAAUGGGGGGAACCCUGAUCCAGCCAUGCCGCGUGUGUGAAGAAGGUCUUAGGAUUGUAAAGCACUUUAAGUUGGGAGGAAGAGCAGUUAACUAAUAUUUGACUGUUUUGACGUUACCGACAGAAUAAGCACCGGCUAACUUCGUGUCAGCAGCCGCCGUAA
rnacentral:rRNA from 1 species